rnacentral:rRNA from 1 species
UACGUAGGGUCCGAGCGUUGUCCGGAAUUAUUGGGCGUAAAGAGCUCGUAGGCGGUCUGUUGCGUCGGGAGUGAAAACUCAGGGCUUAACCCUGAGCUUGCAGUGGGUACGGGCAGACUAGAGUGCGGUAGGGGAGACUGGAAUUCCUGGUGUAGCGGUGAAAAUGCGCAGAUAUCAGGAGGAACACCGGUGGCGAAGGCGGGUCUCUGGGCCACUACUGACGCUGAGAAGCGAAAGCAUGGGGAGCGAAACAGG